rnacentral:rRNA from 1 species
AUAAGAUUUUAAUUGAAUGCUAAAAGAAUGGAAGUUUAAAAAAAUUCUUUUUUAAAAUUAAAAAUUGAAUUUUUUUUAAUUUGUGAAUAAACAAUUAUAAAAAUUAAAGACAAGAAGACCCUAAGAAUUUGAAGAUCAAAUAAAUAAAAAAUUUUUUAUUUAUUUGAUCUUGAUUGGGGCGAUCAAAAAAUAUUAAUAACUUUUUAAAUUAAAAUGAUCUAUUAAUAAUAAACUAAUGAAAUAAAUACUCUAGGGAUAACAGCGUAAUAAUUUUUGAUAGAUCUUAUAGACAAAAUAGUUUGCGACCUCGAUGUUGGAUUAGGAUUCUUAUUUAAUGAAGAUGUUAAAUAAAGAAGUU